rnacentral:rRNA from 1 species
UGAGUACGAGAUGCUACGGCAUCGAAGCAGUCUAUGUCAUACUUCCAAGAAAAGCUUGCACUGUCAUAAACAAAGAAUGCCUGUACCAUAACCGACACAGGUGGGUAGGUAGAGUAUACUAAGGGGCGCGAGAUAACUCUCUCUAAGGAACUCGGCAAAAUGACUCCGUAACUUCGGGAGAAGGAGUGCCUUAUUUCUAAGGUUGCAAUAACAAGAUCCAAGCAACUGUUUACCAAAAACACAGGUCUCCGCUAAGUCGUAAGACGAUGUAUGGGGGCUGACGCCUGCCCAGUGCCAGAAGGUUAAAGAAGUUGGUUAGCAUUAGCGAAGCUGAUAACUGAAGCCCUGGUGAACGGCGGCCGUAACUAUAACGGUCCUAAGGUAGCGAAAUUCCUUGUCGGGUAAGUUCCGACCCGCACGAAAGGCGUAAUGAUUUGGAUACUGUCUCGGAGAGGGGCUCGGUGAAAUAGACUUGUCUGUGAAGAUGCGGACUACCUGCACCUGGACACAAAGACCCUAUGAAGCUUUACUGUAACUUGAGAUUGAAAUUGGACUUAUUUGCGCAGUAUAGGUGGGAGGCGUUGAGAAUAAUCUUGCGGGAUUGUUGGAGCCAUCAGUGAGAUACCACUCUUGUAAUGUUAGAUUUCUAACUUUGUAUCAUUAUCUGGUCAAAGAACAGUUUCAGGCGGGCAGUUUGACUGGGGCGGUCGCCUCCCAAAGGGUAACGGAGGCGCACAAAGGUUUCCUCUGAACGGGUAGAAAUCGUAUCUAGAGUGUAAAGGCAUAAGGAAGCUUGACUGUGAGACCUACAAGUCGAGCAGGGACGAAAGUCGGUCUUAGUGAUCUGACGGUGCUGAGUGGAAAGGCCGUCACUCAACGGAUAAAAGUUACUCUAGGAUAACAGGCUGAUCUCCCCCAAGAGUUCACAUCGACGGGGAGGUUUGGCACCUCGAUGUCGGCUCAUCGCAUCCUGGGGCGGUAGUCCGUCCCAAGGGUUGGGCUGUUCGCCCAUGAAAGCGGUACGCGAGCUGGGUUUAGAACGUCGUGAGACAGUUCGGUCCAUAUCCGGUGUAGGCGUUAGAAUAUUGAGAGGAGCCUUCUCUAGUACGAGAGGACCGAGAAGGACAUACCUCUGGUGUACCAGUUAUCGUGCCAACGGUAAACGCUGGGUAGCUAUGUAUGGAGUGGAUAACCGCUGAAAGCAUCUAAGUGGGAAGCCCACCUCAAGAUAAG